rnacentral:rRNA from 1 species
AAUGAACGCUGGCGGCAGGCUUAACACAUGCAAGUCGAACGAUUAAAGCCCCUUCGGGGGUGUAUAAAGUGGCAAACGGGUGAGUAACACGUGGGAAUGUACCUUUCAGUUCGGGACAACAGUUGGAAACGACUGCUAAUACCGAAUACGCUCUACGGAGGAAAGAUUUAUCGCUGAAAGAUCAGCCCGCGCUAGAUUAGCUAGUUGGUGAGGUAAUGGCUCACCAAGGCUGUGAUCUAUAGCUGGUUUGAGAGGAUGAUCAGCCACACUGGGACUUAGAUACGGCCCAGACUCCUACGGGAGGCAGCAGUGAGGAAUAUUGGACAAUGGAGGAAACUCUGAUCCAGCCAUGCCGCGUGAGUGAUGAAGGCCCUAGGGUUGUAAAACUCUUUCAGUAAGGAAGAUAAUGACGGUACUUACAGAAGAAACCCCGGCUAACUCCG